rnacentral:pre_miRNA from 1 species
AGUAGAAUUGCUAUAUUAUAUGGUGAAUGUAUGUUUAAAUUUGUAAGAAAUUGUCAGGCUCUUUUCCAAAGUGAUUUCACCAUUUUAUAUUCCCACUAGCAGC